GAUGAACGCUGGCGGCGCGCCUAACACAUGCAAGUCGAACGAUUAAAGCACCUUCGAGUGUGUAUAAAGUGGCGAACGGCUGAGUAACACGUGGGCAACCUGCCCCUUUCAUUGGGAUAGCCACGGGAAACCGUGGAUAAUACCGAAUACUUCGAGACUUCCGCAUGGAAGACUCGAGAAAGCUCCGGCGGAGAGGGAUGGGCCCGCGGCCUGUUAGCUUGUUGGUGGGGUAACGGCCUACCAAGGCAAUGAUGGGUAGCUGGGUUGAGAGACCGACCAGCCAGAUUGGGACUGAGACACGGCCCAGACUCCUACGGGAGGCAGCAGUGGGGAAUCUUGCACAAUGGGCGGAAGCCUGAUGCAGCGACGCCGCGUGCGGGAUGAAGGCCUUCGGGUUGUAAACCGCUUUCAGCAGGGACGAGGCGAAAGUGACGGUACCUGCAGAAGAAGCCCCGGCUAACUACGUG
rnacentral:rRNA from 1 species